rnacentral:rRNA from 1 species
AUUGAACGCUGGCGGCAGGCCUAACACAUGCAAGUCGAACGAGUGGCGGACGGGUGAGUAAUGUCUGGGAAACUGCCUGAUGGAGGGGGAUAACUACUGGAAACGGUAGCUAAUACCGCAUACCAUCGGAUGUGCCCAGAUGGGAUUAGCUAGUAGGUGGGGUAAAGGCUCACCUAGGCGACGAUCCCUAGCUGGUCUGAGAGGAUGACCAGCCACAGUGGAACGGAGAAACGGGCGGGAGUCCUACGGGAGGCAGCAGUGGGGAAUAUUGCAAAAGGGGGGCAAGCCUGAUGCAGCCAGGCCGUGUGUAUGAAGAAGGCCUUCGGGUGUUAAAGUUCUGUCAGGUGGGAGGCGUUACCCACAGAAGAAGCACCGGCUAACUCCGUGCCAGCAGCCGCGGUAAUAC